UAUUAGAUUUUCUCUGAAGGUUGUCUCGGAGAGGAGACUUCUCUUCUGAGUUCCUUGUCCCUUUAAUUCCUGUAUUUUCCUCCUAGUGGCUUUGUCACUUGGAUUGGGUGAUAGACAUAGGGAGCUAUUCUUUGGGGACGCCCUGAUAAUUAGGAUUAUAGCGUCUAGUUUACAUACCCCUUCUUUCUUCUGCUCAUGCCAACCUAUAACUCUAUCUAACAUUGAUUGUGACAAUUUAUUUCCUCUUUUAGUACAACAGGUGAUUUUCUCUUUUUUGUAAUUGGGCCUAUUAAAUAUAGAUAUAGAUCUUUUUGUUCUCUCAUGUAAGGUUUC